GAUCCUGGCUCAGGAUGAACGCUAGCGGCAGGCUUAAUACAUGCAAGUCGAACGGGAUUCAGGUAGCAAUACUUGAUGAGAGUGGCGCACGGGUGCGUAACACGUAUGCAACCUACCUUUAACUGGUGAAUAGCCCCGGGAAAUCGGGAUUAAUACACCAUAACAUUACAAGAGGGCAUCCUCUAAUAAUUAAAGAACUUCGGUUAAAGAUGGGCAUGCGGGACAUUAGCUAGUUGGUGAGGUAACGGCUCACCAAGGCAACGAUGUCUAGGGGUCCUGAGAGGGUUAUCCCCCACACUGGUACUGAGACACGGACCAGACUCCUACGGGAGGCAGCAGUAAGGAAUAUUGGUCAAUGGGCGCAAGCCUGAACCAGCCAUGCCGCGUGAAAGGAAGACGGCGCUAUGCGUUGUAAACUUCUUUUGUCAGGGAAUAAAUGUAGGUACGUGUACUUACUUGAAGGUACCUGAAGAAUAAGCAUCGGCUAACUCCGUGCCAGCAGCCGC
rnacentral:rRNA from 1 species